AUUGAACGCUGGCGGCAUGCUUUACACAUGCAAGUCGAACGACAGCGCGGGCUUCGGCCUGGCGGCGAGUGGCGAACGGGUGAGUAAUGCAUCGGAACGUGCCCAGUAGUGGGGGAUAGCGCGGCGAAAGCCGGAUUAAUACCGCAUACGACCUGAGGGUGCAAGCGGGGGAGCGAAAGGCCUCGCGCUAUUGGAGCGGCCGAUGUCGGAUUAGCUAGUUGGUGGGGUAAAGGCUUACCAAGGCGACGAUCCGUAGCUGGUCUGAGAGGACGACCAGCCACACUGGGACUGAGACACGGCCCAGACUCCUACGGGAGGCAGCAGUGGGGAAUUUUGGACAAUGGGGGCAACCCUGAUCCAGCCAUGCCGCGUGCGGGAAGAAGGCCUUCGGGUUGUAAAACGCUUUUGUUCGGGAAGAAAUCCUCUGGGCUAAUACCCCGGGGGGAUGACGGUACCGGAAGAAUAAGCACCGGCUAACUACGUG
rnacentral:rRNA from 1 species